UAGGGAAUCUUCCGCAAUGGACGCAAGUCUGACGGAGCAACGCCGCGUGAGUGAAGAAGGAUUUCGGUUCGUAAAACUCUGUUGUUAGAGAAGAACAGCGCAUAGAGUAACUGUUAUGCGUGUGACGGUAUCUAACCAGAAAGCCACGGCUAACUACGUGCCAGCAGCCGCGGUAAUACGUAGGUGGCAAGCGUUGUCCGGAAUUAUUGGGCGUAAAGCGCGCGCCGGCGGACUAGCCAGUCAGUCUUAAAAGUUCGGGGCUUAACCCCGUGAUGGGAUUGAAACUACUAGUCUAGAGUAUCGGAGAGGAAAGUGGAAUUCCUAGUGUAGCGGUGAAAUGCGUAGAUAUUAGGAAGAACACCAGUGGCGAAGGCGACUUUCUGGACGAACACUGACGCUUAGGCGCGAAAGCCAGGUGAGCGAACGGG
rnacentral:rRNA from 1 species